UUGUUUCAUGGAUUGGAAAAGGAUUCCCGGGAAUGUUUGGGCCGGAAUCUACAUUCCAGUGUUUGGUAGCAGAUUUGAAAAAAAUAUUCCCGGGUAUCUUUCAUUCCUGGGCAA
rnacentral:pre_miRNA from 1 species